GGCCGGGUUGAUUUUAGUGGUUGUUGUAGAGCAGGUGAUGACCAGUGGUGGACUAGAAGCCUUCAUCCGCGGUCCACAGUACAAGAAUUAGAACUACAAAACACUUAUAAAUUGGCACAAGAAUCGUGCAAAAAAUUUAAGGUGUGAAAUAUCUGAACAAAUAGGUGCUGCCGUUUUAUAUAAAAAAAGGCAAAAAAUCAUCUGGCGUGACUUGACUAACCGAUACACUACGCUUCAGCAAGGGAGGUGCACUUUCGUCUGGGAACAAUAAUGGCUUACGUGAUAGUGCAAGGCAGAUUUGGUAUAGGAAGUGCACAAGUGGAAGGCCUUGAAAAUGCAUUCGCUAAGCGCGAACUUGCUUACAGAAGUGUCCUGGACGCCCUGGGGUUCACUCUUGACGCGGACGGUGUUGUGUCCAGCAAGCCUCGUUCAGGUGGAAGUUGUGAAAUUCGGGCGUCGAGUCAUGGCAGAAAACUUUUGGUCUUGAAACCAGACCUGUUUCCAACAGAGGUUCUCAACGUGAUGAAAAAAGCGGGCUUCAGAGUUGUGGCUUCCUCCGCCCUCUCCAAUAAUGCCGGCAGUGGUGUCGUUGUUUGGACACUAGAAAAACUAAGUAAAGGUCCGUGAACUUGGACGAAGACAUUGUCAAACCGGGAAAAAAUAUUUCGCUGAAUGUGGGGAAACGGAGCGACGUUCAUCCUGGGAGGCGCAGUAACUACAGUUCUUCCCGUGGCUUACACCGGAGCCUUCGACCCGACUCUCUCCUGGGAAAUGUAGUAGUCACCCGUGCCUGUUACCCCUGUUCACCUUCACACCAGGAACGGACACAUUAGCACAUAAUUACUUGCACUGAUAAUUUCAGUUUGAUGUAAUUAAUAUUGAUUGACAUACGGUAAUGUUUAGCUUUAUUCUUCGGACAAUUUUACCUGGAAGAAACAAAAAUGCACUUAAAUGGUCAGCAUUUUAUUAGACAUGUUCCAUCGUCCGAAGUUACAAACUGCAGUUUUGUUGUGAAUAUUAAAAAUAGUUAUGUUCUUUUAAGUAGGUUUUAACAAUAUUGUAACUAUGGACAAGUUACAUUGUUUUUAGUUAUCUUUCUCCUUUUAAUUUUUCUUAUUUACUCUUGAAAUUAAUUUUUAAACUUUUAACUAACGUUUAAUACACGGUAAUUAAUAAAGACGUUCAAUAA